UUUUUCUGUUUAGUGCCACACCCACGGCAUAUGGAGUUUCCCAGGCUAGGGGUCGAAUUGGAGCUGUAGCUACCGGCCUACCACCAUAGCCACAGCAACACCAGAUCCAAGCCACAACUGCAACCUACACAGCUCACAGCAACACCAGAUCUUUAACCCACUGAGUGAGGCCUGGGAUGGAACCUGCUUCUUCAUGGAUGCUUAUCAGAUUCAUUUCCACUGAGCCAUGAUGGGAACUCCCUAAAAUUUUUUUCAUUAAAUUUUUUUCUUUUUCCUUUUUAGGGCCACACCUGUGGCAUUGAAGUUCCCAGGCUAGGGGUCAAAUUGGAGCUACAGCUACCAGCCUAUGCCACAGCCACAGCAACAGCAACAUGGGAUCCAAGCCAUGUCUGCCACCUACACCACAGCUCAUGGUAAUGCUGUAUUGUUAAUCCAUUGCGAGAGGCCAGGGAUCAAACCCACAUCUUCAUUGAUGCUACUUGGGUUCGUACCAGCUGAGCCACAACAGGAACUCCCUGUUUGUAGACUUUUGAUGAUGGCGAUUCUGCCUGGUGCAAGGUGACACCUCAUUGUAGUUUUGAUUUGCAUUUCUCUAAUAAUUAGCAGUGGUAAGAUCUUUUCAUCUGCCUGAUAAUCAUCAGUAUGUCUUCUUUGGAGGCAUAUCUAUUUAGGUCUUCUGUUCAUUUUCUUUUUCUUUUUUUUAAAUUUAUUUAUUUAUUUAAAUUACUCAAAUGAAUUUAUCACAUCUGUAGCUCUGUAUAAUGAUCGUAACAAUCUAAUUUCACAGGAUUUCCAUUCUGUUCAUUUUCUGAUUGUGUUGUUUGUUUUUUGAUAUUGAGCUGUAUGAACUGUUUGUAUAUUUUGAAAAUUAAUCCCUUGUCAGUUGCAUCGUUUGUAAGUAUUUUCUUCCAUUCUGUGAGUUGUCUUUUUAUUUAUGAUUUCCUUUGCUGUGCAAAAGCUUUUAAGUUUAAUCAGGUCCCAUUUGUUUAUUUUUGUUUUUAUUUUCAUUAUUCUAGGAGACAGAUCCCCAAAAUACUGCUGUUAUUUAUGUCAAAAUGUUUUCCUUUAGGAGUUCUGUAGUAUCUAGUCUUAUACUUAGGUCUUUAAUCCAUUUUGAGUUUAUUUCCGUAUAUGAUGAUAGUGAGUGUUAUAAUUUCAUUCUUUUACAUGUAGCUGUCUAGUUUUCCUAGCAUCACUUAUUGAAGAGACUUGUUUUUUCUUCAUUGCAUGUUUUUGUCUUCUUUGUUAUAGAUUAAUUGGACAUAAGUCUGUGGAUUUAUUUCUGGGCUUUCCAUCCUAUUCAGCUAAUUUAAGUGUCUGUUUUUGUGCCAGUACCAUACUAUUUUGAUGACUGUAGCUUUGUAGUAUAGUCUGAAGUCAGGGAGCCUGAUUCCUCCAGCUCUGUUAUUCUUUUUCAAGAUUGCUGCUGGUUAUUUGGGGUCUAUUGUGUUUCCAUACAAAUUUGAAAAUUAUUUGUUCUAGUUCUGUGAAAAAUACCGUAGGUAAUUUGAUAGGGAUUGUAUUGAAUUUGUAGAUAGCCUUGGGUCAUAUGGUCAUUUUAACAAUACUGCCUCUUCCAAUCCAAGAACACGGUAUAUUUUUCCAUUUGUUUGUGUUCCCCAUCCGUUUGUGUUUUCCUCAAUUUCUUUUAUCAGUGUCUUAUAAUUUCUAGAGAACAGGUCUUUUUCCUCCUUUGGUAGAUUUAUUCCUAGAGGAGUACCUUGUUUAAAUUUAUUGGGAUACUGAGCUAUAGUUGUAACUUGGGCACCAGUAUUGAACAAGGCCUUGAAAGCCAAUAGGGGCAUUUUAGGCAAUGUCAAAAUUAAUCUAGAACCAAUGUUGUAGAGGUGCAAAAGCCAAUCAAUGUUGUGUUAUAUAAAUUAUUUUAGUAUCUUUUGGAUUUAUAAUUGAGUCAAGUUGUUGAACUCUGUUUGAUUUCUGAUUUCUCCCCUCUAGCAAUGUCCCCCACACCUCUAUUUGGUGAUUACUGGAUAUACUCUGUAAGAUUGUCUUUACUCUGCUCAUAAUUAUAAGUUUCUUCUUAUAGAGAGUCACAAUUUAGUACUGUCAUGGUUAGGGGCUUCUCUCAUGGUUACUGCUGCUUUAUUGGGUUUAGAGACACAGAACUUAAGUCAGUUUUGAAAUAACUCUUUAGCAUGUUGAUAAAUUUCUGCAUUCAGUGGAAUCCAGCAUCUUUGUUGGUCAUUUUGCAGUUAUCCAAAAGAGGGAUGGCAUCCUAGGCUUUAGAAAAAUUUUUUUAAAUUGUAGUUGACAGAAUAUAUCAUAUUAAUUUCAGGUGCACAAUAUAGUGGUUUGACAUUUGGGUACAUUACACACUUACUGGUUUGCUCAGAUGUGAGGCAACAAAGGAAGAGGGAGGAGUAAGGCUUGAAAGUAUCAGAGAUCAAACAUCACACAAUGAAAUCAGACUCUUAGCCUUUAGCUCCAGACAGUCUUGUCUGGCAGUGAUGUAGGGAGAGACAGGUGAUACAGGACAGUUUCAGUAGUUAAGAUGGUACCUUAUAUUGGUUUUUAACUCACAAAUCAAAAAGAAAAACCUUCCCUGACCCAGUAUAAAGAUGUUGCCAUUAUUUAGUGGGUCAGUUUGUAGGGCUAGCUGGCUUUGACCUUUGAAUGAAUGAAUGGAGGAGGUUGGCUGAAUCUAGCAGCCAGGGCACAUCAUACUCUAUACUUCUUUCUUCUCUCUCUUUUUUUUUUUUUAAGUUUGUUUUUUGGCUGCACCUGCGGCAUGCCGAAUUUCCUGGACCAGGGAUCGAAUUCGUGCCACAGCAAUGCUUCAUCCUUUACCUGAUACGCCACCAGGGAAUUCCUUUUCUCUCCUUGAUUAGUGUUCUAAUGAGAAAUGAAUUUACCAGAGAGAUUGAACAAAUCUGAUAUCUUAAUAAUUUAAUUCUGGCUUGUCAAGUUAAAUGUUGGGUGGUAUUAAGUUCUAAAAUCCUUACAGUAUGUUGCUCACAUAUAGGUAGGGAGUUUUAACUUAGCUUUAUACUAUAUACUGCAGAGACAUUUCAUAUUACUUAGGGAAGUGCUUGGGCAUUAAAUUAUUUUGUCCUCUUAAUGGGACAGUGUGGUAGAGACUAUUGCGUAGAUGAGGAAACUGAGGUACAUUGGAGGUUAAAUAACCUGCCUGUUGUUCACACAGCUAGUAAGUGGUAGAGUUAGGAUUUAGAUCUGGCUCCAGACUCCACUUCUCAAUCACUGUGCUGUGAUAACCACAAUGCUAUACAUUAUUAGAGAAAUUAGGACCAUGUUUCUCUUUAACAAGUAUGGUAUACAGGACUAUGGAUAAGUCACCAUAAUUUAAUUUCGAUUUCAGAGUCCUCAUGCUUUCAUUUUUUUCUUUUCUUUUCUUUUUUUUUUAGGGCCACACCUAUGGCAUAUGGAAGUUCUCAGGCUGGGGUAGAAUUGGAGCUGCAGCUGCCGGCCUACACCACAGCCACAGCAACUCAGGGAUCUGAGCUGUGUCUGUGACCUACACCACAGCUCAUGGCAAUGCCAGAUCCCCGACUCACUGAGUGAGGCCAGGGAUCAAAACCGCAUCCUCAUGGAUACUAGUUAAUUCACUUCCACUGUGCCACAACAGAAACUCCCUCAUGUUUUGAUGUCAAGCCAUAAAUGCAAUGUCACUACGUUUCAACAGUAUUUAACAUAUGUGAAGAAAUGAUAAAUAUAAAGCCCUGAAUAAGAUAUUGUAUGGGCAUGAGAGCAAUCUGAGAAUUCCAUUUGGAAAUCUAAAAUGGAAAAAAAAAAAUCGCAAGAGUUUCUGUUGUGUCUCAGCAGGUUAAGAAUCUGACUAAUAUCCAUGAGGAUGCAGGUUUGAUUCCUGACCUCGCUUAGUGGGUUAGGAUCCAGCGUUGCUGCAAGCUGCAUGUAAGUCGAAGGUGCAGCUCAGAUCUGGCAUUGCCAUGGCUGUGGCAAAGACCUGCAGCUGCAGCUCCAAUUCAACACCUAGCCUGGAAACUUCCAAAUGCUGCAGGUGUGGCCCUAAAAAGAGAAAGAAAGAGGGAAAGAGAAAGAAAAAUCACAAUAGCCUAAAACAGCAGCACUUUUUUUAAAACAAGUAGUAUCACUGUUUUAUUUUCUAGAUGGGUUCAUAGAUUUCCUUUGUGACUUUAAAUGAGCAGUUUUAUGCUGUUG
ensembl:lncRNA